UACGUAGGGGGCAAGCGUUGUCCGGAUUCAUUGGGCGUAAAGAGCGUGUAGGCGGCCAGGUAGGUCGGUUGUGAAAACUGGAGGCUCAACCUUCAGAGGUCGACCGAAACCAUCUGGCUAGAGUCCGGGAGAGGAGAGUGGAAUUCCUGGUGUAGCGGUGAAAUGCGCAGAUAUCAGGAAGAACACCCGUGGCGAAGGCAGGUCUCUGGGCCAUAACUGACGCUGAGAAGCGAAAGCAUGGGGAGCGAACAGG
rnacentral:rRNA from 1 species